UACAGAGGUCUCAAGCGUUGUUCGGAUUCAUUGGGCGUAAAGGGUGCGUAGGUGGCGCUGUAAGUCAGGUGUGAAAUUUCGGAGCUUAACUCCGAAACUGCAUUUGAUACUGCGGUGCUUGAGGACUGGAGAGGAGACUGGAAUUUACGGUGUAGCAGUGAAAUGCAUAGAGAUCGUAAGGAAGACCAGUGGCGAAGGCGGGUCUCUGGACAGUUCCUGACACUGAGGCACGAAGGCCCAGGGGAGCAAAACGGG
rnacentral:rRNA from 1 species